UAGCCUGUUGGUGAGGUAACGGCUCACCAAGGCGAUGAUCGAUAGCUGGUCUGAGAGGAUGAUCAGCCACAUUGGGACUGAGACACGGCCCAAACUCCUACGGGAGGCAGCAGUGGGGAAUAUUGGACAAUGGGCGCAAGCCUGAUCCAGCCAUGCCGCGUGAGUGAUGACGGCCUUAGGGUUGUAAAGCUCUUUCGCUCGGGACGAUAAUGACGGUACCGAGAUAAGAAGCCCCGGCUAACUUCGUGCCAGCAGCCGCGGUAAUACGAAGGGGGCUAGCGUUGUUCGGAAUUACUGGGCGUAAAGCGCGUGUAGGCGGGUCUUUAAGUCAGGGGUGAAAUGCCAAGGCUCAACCUUGGAACUGCCUUUGAUACUGGAGAUCUUGAGUCCGGGAGAGGUGAGUGGAAUUGCGAGUGUAGAGGUGAAAUUCGUAGAUAUUCGCAAGAACACCAGUGGCGAAGGCGGCUCACUGGCCCGGAACUGACGCUGAGACGCGAAAGCGUGGGGAGCAAACAGGAUUAGAUACCCUGGUAGUCCACGCUGUAAACGAUGGAUGCUAGCCGUUGGGGAGCUUGCUCUUCAGUGGCGCAGCUAACGCUUUAAGCAUCCCGCCUGGGGAGUACGGUCGCAAGAUUAAAACUUAAAGGAA
rnacentral:rRNA from 1 species